CACACAUAAAAGGAGUUGAUGAUGCUCCAGUCUCGGUUUUGCUGACAGCUUUAGCUUUGUUUGUUUCAAACGGUUUGCUUUUUGAAUUAUUAAACUCUUAAAACAGUGUGUGGCCUUAAAGAACCACCCACAGACUGGCACAGCAUUCAUGCAGCCAAGGGUAGUCCAAGGUAAGAUGAAUAGCUACAACAGAGGAGUGUUGUUUGACUGCAUUCAUCGGUGCAAUGGCGUCUGCAGACGUUCCUUAUUUUGAUUGAUUUUUUGGAGGAAUGCAAUGAGAUAAAGAGAUAAAAAAACAUUUAAGAUAUUAAAAUAUGUAGGUGAUGUCCGAUUGUCCGGUGUGUUUUGAUGGACAUGGAAGUUCUUAUGUUUUUGUUGGUUCGAGUGAAUCUGUGAAAACUGAAUUACAAAUAGACGUGGUUCAAGACGUUCAUAAAAAAUGGCCCUUUAGUUCCAGUACGAGGCAGGUGUUAUCUUACUCUACAAAAAUGUUGACAUGUAUUGGAAAAGCUGAAUUAUUCGGGCAAUAAUUUUUUCAAAUAGAAAAAAAAUGUGGCUUUUUUGGAAAAUUGCUAAGCUAAUUUCUCUUAGCAAUGCAAGCUAACUCAAAAUUGACAUAACACGUUCACAAAACAGUGCACUGUACUAAAUGUGCAACGGAUUCAUUUGAAAAUCCAGUGACUAGUGUCUAAACUAUUUAUUAGCAGUUGCUAUAAGCAGUUUUUUCAAGUCAGGCAUGUUUGAGUUUGAGAUUUUAACUUAAAACCUACAAAUUCUAGACUUCAAAUGAAACAGUACCUGCAAAGGUACCUGGAUUGGGUCAGUCAAAGCCCUUCUUAUUGUUGUUGUAAUAUAGCUUAGUCCGUUAACUUUUGAGUCUCUUGACUUCCAUUUCCAGUCCCAUGUCUGAAAACCUUGAAGGGCUAUUUCACUUUCCGACAGGCUACGAUAAGUAAAAUGUAAUAUUUCAGGCUUCACUUCCAUCUUGUCUUGACUGAUGUGUGAUCUGAUCACCCUGAAAUUUUAAUGAGUCCUGCUCCAGGCUUACUAUGGAAGAAACCAUUCUGACGCAGCAAGAUUGUAAGCACCUUCGCUCAUAAACCACAAUGAAUUAUGGCUUCUUAAUUUACCAUAAUACAUAAAGAGUUUUAUGGAUAAUGAAAUGAAUGAGUGAUGGAGAACAAACAGUGAAAAUAGUCUUGUUUGGUUCCUGCUGUUUGUUUUGGGCUGCUGAGCGACAUGGAAAAGCCAACAGCUACACGUUGCAUCUUGGUACUAAAUUAGCUCUGCAAGCAGGGAAGCAUUCACACACAACACUCAACACUCAACAAGAACAUUUAUAAAGGUUCAUGUAGCAACGGGGCCAGUUUUAAACUUAGCAAAGCAGCUUGUCUCUUUCGUAGACGGUUGAUUUUGCAGGACGCUGCCUCCGCCCACCUUUCUGUUAUAAUCAAGCUCGCCCACUGUGCCAAUCAAAUACAGUCUGCGUGUUAAAACUCAGCAUGGUGCUGUUAAAUGAGAUUUUAGCAUAAGUGAACCAAGGGCAACUUUAGCUAAGUCCAAGUUUUUGAGAAAGAUUUUACUCUAUUGUUGGGUCAAAAAAGAAAUAUUCUCCAAAAAAUGCAAACAAUUCCAGUUUUGGAUUAACAGAAAUGUGAAUAAAUUGACAAACUGUUAAAUCAUGGUAAAAAUAUGUUUUACAGUUGACGGAAAUGUCCUUACAAUUAACAGAAAACAUCCUGGUGAUUUUCUAUCAGGAUUCUUUGUGUUUUGUUUUUUUUGUUUUUUGUUUUUUUUAUUUCCUGACAUUUUUCUUAGUGUAACAUAGAACACUGUGGUUUCCACUCCCACGAACCAGUUCACACACACUGUUCAAACCGAGAGCACAUCAAAGGCAACACACAUACUUAAAAGACCCUGCAGACCUGCCAAACAUUACUGUGUACGUGGCAAGGAGUAAUUACGCUGCUGAUUCUAUUUGUGUAACAAACAACACUGAUUCCUGACUGGGUGCUGAGCCUGUGUGUUUGACUCUUGUUUGGCUCGAGGGAGACGGUCUCCUUCAUCAUCCGAAUUUCAACAAUGUGGCAAGUUCUUUUCAGAUUCCAGACGAGUUUCAUUACCGAUAACUCUUUGAUGUCUGUGAGAAAAAAAUAUAAAUGAAUAAUCUGCAACACAGCGGCCUCUGAUCGCUCAGAUGCAUAGUGUGCGAAUUAAACUGUCUGCAAGUGCCGUAUGCUUUGUUACUGAGACAUGAGUCAUCCCCAGUUUUGCUCUUUCCAUGCCUCAUUUUUGCCACUUGAUGAAAAAACAAAACACAUUUGAUCUGUUUCUUUUUCCUGUAGUAAUUUAUUAAAAAGAAAAAUAGAGGUCCAGACCGCAAAUGAAGAAAGAAUGACUACGGAAGGUUCUGACAAGGAGUGCCCUCAUUGGACAGACAUUAGCUGCCGCUGAGGAGGUGAUUAUGGAAACAUUGGUAAACCAAGUUAAAUGAAUGCACUGCAGCUGUGGAAGGAUCAUGAGUAGGAAAAGGAGAAAUGAGGGGAAAAUAGUGAAAAAACAACAAAUGUUAAUGUGGCAUAUUGAAACACAUAUGGUGUCCCACACACCAUAUGUGACAAAUAAGACUAACUCUCGUGGAUGGCGUCAGUUCAUACUCCUCCAAUGUUGCGAAAUAAAACAAAUUAUAAUAAGGAAAGUGACGCAAAAGUCUACCACAUGGUCCAACCAAAAUUAUUUCCAGUUAUUGAAUAUGCUCAGGGAUAUUCAUUGGGGCAAUAAGUGACGUAACCAGUUUUUAGGUUUAGGGCACAAUUACUUAUUCAUACAGGCAGGUCGGUUUCGACAAUGUAUUCCCUUAAAAAUUGAGCAGCAUUGUUAGAAAUCUUUUUUUUUUGUAUUGAGAUAGGUUGUUUUUUUUGACAAUAAAUCACAAACAAAAUCUGCGAGGAGGCAAAUACUUUCCCACAGCCCUGUGGUGGGUGUGUUCUCCCUUUAAUCGAGUCAUUUUAGAAGGUCGCUCUUUGAUUUAGCUUCAGUGACUCCCUUUGACCUUUAACCUACAUGCAACACAGUUAUCCGGAGCAAUUAACAGCAUUCAAAUUUAAUUACCAACUGACGCCACACCUUCAUGUGCAAAGCACUGUGAGUCUGUUAGUAAGACUGUGUUCUCAGUCAUUGCCAGAGAACGUUUGCAUUUGGCAAAUGACGCUUUUGAUGUGGGUUUUUUUUUUUUUUCACAUUUACUCAAAACUGCGACAUACUUAGAACUCUCAGGGUAUUGAAGCCAACAUCACAAAAUAAUAAAAAAAGACGACCAAGUAAAAAUGUAAGAAUUUUGCUGAAUCACAUCAAAUUCUAAAACUUGUGACUUGCAUUUAUGCAGAGCCACACCUGCCUCUGGA